GAUGAACGCUAGCUACAGGCUUAACACAUGCAAGUCGAGGGGCAGCACUAGGUAGCAAUACUGAGGUGGCGACCGGCGCACGGGUGCGUAACGCGUAUCCAACCUUCCCGUUACUCUUGGAUAGCCUUCCGAAAGGGAGAUUAAUACAAGAUGGUGUUGAAAUUCCGCAUGUUAUUUCAACUAAAGAUUUAUCGGUAACGGAUGGGGAUGCGUUCCAUUAGCUUGUUGGCGGGGUAACGGCCCACCAAGGCGACGAUGCAUAGGGGUUCUGAGAGGAAGGUCCCCCACACUGGUACUGAGACACGGACCAGACUCCUACGGGAGGCAGCAGUGAGGAAUAUUGGUCAAUGGUCGAGAGACUGAACCAGCCAAGUCGCGUGAGGGAAGACUGCCCUAUGGGUUGUAAACCUCUUUAGUCGGGGAGCAAAAAGCGGACGUGUCCGCCAUUGAGCGUACCCGAAGAAUAAGCAUCGGCUAACUCCGUG
rnacentral:rRNA from 1 species